rnacentral:rRNA from 1 species
GAGUUUGAUCUUGGCUCAGAACGAACGCUGGCGGCAGGCUUAACACAUGCAAGUCGAACGCGUGUAGCAAUACACGAGUGGCGCACGGGUGAGUAACGCGUGGAUAUCUGCCUUUUGGUUCGGAAUAACCCCGGGAACUGGGCUAAUACCGGAUGGUUCCUACGGGAUAAAGAUUUAUCGCCAAAGAUGAGUCCGCGUACGAUUAGCUAGUUGGUGGGGUAAUGGCUCACCAAGGCGACGAUCGUUAGCUGGUCUGAGAGGACGAUCAGCCACACUGGGACUGAGACACGGCCCAGACUCCUACGGGAGGCAGCAGUGGGGAAUAUUGGACAAUGGGGGCAACCCUGAUCCAGCCAUGCCGCGUGAGUGAUGAAGGCCUUCGGGUUGUAAAGCUCUUUUGGUCGGGGAC